rnacentral:tRNA from 1 species
UGUGGUUCAGUAGUAAGAGCACUUGCCUGGCAUGCAUGAGGCUCUGGGUUCAAUCCCCAGCA